rnacentral:sRNA from 1 species
UCACUUCAUCACCCAGGCUGGAGUACAGUGGCACGACCUCAGCGUACUGCAACCUCCGCCUCCCAGGCUGAAGUGAUUCUUGUGCCUUACCCUCCCAAGUAGCUGGGACUACAGGCACACGCCACCUUGCCCAGCUAAUUUUUCUAUUUUUAGUAGAGACAGAGUUUUGCCAUGUUGGCCAGGGUGGUCUUGAACUCCUGACCUCAAGUGAUCUGCCCACCUUGGCCUAUCAAAGUACUGGGAUUGCAGGCAUCAACCACUGUGCCCGGCCGCCACUAUUUCUUAAAAGGAAGGGAAGGCUCCAUUUCCUCCAUAUCUUAAAGGAGAAAAAAAGCCAGUGGGAAAAGGAAAUAACAGAGAUGGAACACAGAAAAAGAACAGACGCCAAAGAUGAAGAGGAAGCCUUUCUGGAUUGGAGUGAUGAUGA